UCACUGAGCUCCUCUACAUCAGCUGCCAGAUGUCUCACACCUGACCCGGUCCAAGUGGCCGGCUGAACCACCAGAUCAACGCCGGACCAGGUGCAGGCCGAGGUUCUGCUCAGGGUUGACCAGCCAGAGGUUACUGGUGACGGUCAGGUCAAACGCCAGCCAGCCCUCCUCCGCAGCCCACACCUCUCGCUGGUCCAGCAGCAAGAGCUCCACGUCACUGAGGAGAGGACGCCUCAAAACGAUGCGUAGUGAGUCAUCCAAACAUCCAGGGAUGUUCCUGGGAGCACUGGGAGAAGAGGCUGGGCAGCUCUACAGCAGCUCUCCGUCACACUGGAAGCUGUGGUCUUUGGAAGGGAAAUACCAUAAUCCAGUUCAGUCUUGAAGCGAUCAUCCCAGGACCACCAAGACGGAGUCACUUCCAGCACAUUGUGGGAGCCCUGGCGAAAAACGCUGCCAAUCAUCAGCACAGGAGGAGGCCGUGGUGGGUUUUUGAGAGAGAGAAAUAAUGCGCACUCAUUGUGUCCUUUUCUUCUCCUCCUUCCUCUUUAUAAUCAAACUCCUCAGAUGUGGAACCACACAAAAUCUGCUACGAGUUUUCAGAAACAAUGUUUCCAGAUCUCAUUAGCUUAAAGACCGUCAGUUAAGAGUUCACGACUGAAGACGUAAAAUGUUAUGUUUCAGAUUUUGUUUUUACAGUCUCCAAAUGUUUUGUAUUAACUACACAUGUAGGGGCUGAAUAAUAACUCUGAAUAGCUCUUCAAUUAAAAGCUUCAGUUCAGUCUCAAUGGCAAACAAGCAGACAGGAAGGUUAAAGGGUUCUUUGAGACUUCAUCUCUUCAGGUUGACCUUUAACCCUCCUCCUGAGGCCAGAUUGAAGGGUGGGGGGCGUAAAGAAGACAUGGGUUAGUUUUGGAUGUAACCACAUCCGGAUAAGAGCCACAGGCACUGUGCCGUCUGCUGUUUUACCAUGGUGAUAUCAGUGCCGCUGUAGGAUCUCCAAGGGAAACAACGGCAGGAUUUGACUUUUAUAAAUUCAAUAAUGUCUCAGUGAAUCCCCCCAACUCCCACCUGUGACCCGUGUGAUCUGCACCGUCCACACAAACACACAAACAGACACAUAAAUGCAGGAAUGCAAGCACCUGCACUGACAGAGAUUAGUACAUCAGUAACACGUGUUUAGAUGCAGCCUGUAUCUUGAUCUAACUUGUCUCUCACUCCCUAGGGGUUUAGUAAAUGCCCGUUCAAUUCCUAGUCAUGCGAAACAAAGCCACGCUAAAGCCUCUCCCCCAGAGCUUUGAAGGGAUUCUGGGGGAAAUCGGAUACAGGCGUGUUGUCAUAACAUUUACAGCUCGGGGGAUGCAUAAUGCAGCUGAUUUCAAAUGAAGAAAGUGACCUAAAAGCCACCAUGUCAGGAACACUGGCUCUCACACAGACUUAACUAGUGCACUCUGUCGCAAUGGGAGACUCGACAACAAAAUGGAAAACAUUUAACACCUUGAAUCAAUCAGAUGACAGAGAUGAAACUUCCACUGAACAACAUAAUAAGUAGUCAUUGAUUGGGACAUUUUGCAAAGAAUACUCAUUUAUAGGCCUAUAAUUAAAAAUAUAUAUAUAUUUUCAUGAAAGCAUUAUUACUAGAGGCGUGGACUCAAGUCACAAAUUGGAUGACUUUAGACUCAACUUGACAAAAUCAAAAAAGAAUUGAAACUCAACUUGGACUUUAACCUUCUGACUCUGAUACUUGUUACCUUCCCCCCCAAGCACAAAGAUUUAAAAGUUAAAACAAAUUUAAAGUGUCAAUUAAUUUCCUGGAUAACAUUAAAGGGGAACAGCAACUAAAUUAAGAAUUCCAGUAAUUUCCAUGACCUUGGAAAGUUCAAUCAAUAUUUUUGAACAUGAGCUCCUCUCUCUCA